AUUGCAAUAGCCCAGUGCCUCUGUGAAGGCUGUAUUUCACAUCCCAACAACACGGAACAAAUUGCACAAACGCAAGGAAUUAGAUCCCUUGGUAACAAAUAUUGAAGUCACUUUUUAAAAUGUCACCAAAUGGCUCUGUUAACUCUGUUUUGUAACAAGUGAGAGGCAGAUGGCACUUUGAAGUGUAUGAUGCAUCUUGGAAGAGCAAAAUUGCUCAGGCAUUUUUGUCUAGUUUGCUAAGAUGGAGUGAUGAUGCCCCAGAUGAAAGGCGCUUGGCAUGCCCUCACACAAAAGGCUGAGUACCACUGAGGAUCACACUGUUCACUUUUGGCACAAGUGUCUCCCAUAACUGUUUAAUCGACUAAGCCUGAGUCAGUAAACACCCCGAAGUAUCAAAGAAGCACACAGAGAGUGUAAGACAACAGAAGCCAAGACUCUUCUCCAGGGUGGAAAUAGCCUGAAGAUGUCUGCGUGGAUGAGGAAGAGGGCUGUUUACUUUCAGCAUUUUCAAGAACGUUCAACAGCUGGAUGCUUGGAACUUUGCACAGAUGUGGACUUUAGCGUAAAGCCCCUUUUCUCUGGCAGCAAGAAGCACUCACUCCCCUUCCCCCCUCACCUCUGCUUGGCUUCAGUGUAUUUUCCUGAUUUGCUUUUUAAAAGCAUACUCCUAAGCUUCAAAGGGUGGCAGAUAGAGGCAGCCUGGAAGGGCAGGGUGUCCAGUGGUGCAGGAGUCUCUGCAGAGUGCCUGACUAUUGGAAGGGGCUUCACAAACAAAGAAAAAAGAA
ensembl:antisense Gm15866 predicted gene 15866